GACGAACGCUGGCGGCGUGCGUUAACACAUGCAAGUCGAGCGGUAAGGCCCUUUCGGGGUACGACGAGCGGCGAACGGGUGAGUAACACGUGGGUGACCUGCCCUCAGCUCUGGGAUAAGCCCGGGAAACUGGGUCUAAUACUGGAUAUGACUCCAUGACGCAUGUUGUGGGGUGGAAAGCCUUGUGCGGCUGAGGAUGGGCCCGCGGCCUAUCAGCUUGUUGGUGGGGNGAUGGCCUACCAA
rnacentral:rRNA from 1 species